GGCCCCGUCGUCUAGAGGCCUAGGACGCCGCCCUCUCAAGGCGGAAACGGCGGUUCGAAUCCGCUCGGGGCUACCA
rnacentral:tRNA from 4 species